rnacentral:rRNA from 1 species
CAUGCAGUCGAGCGGAACGAUGAUAGCUUGCUAUCAGGCGUCGAGCGGCGGACGGGUGAGUAAUGCUUAGGAAUCUGCCCAGUAGUGGGGGACAACAGUCGGAAACGGCUGCUAAUACCGCAUACGCCCUACGGGGGAAAGCAGGGGAUCUUCGGACCUUGCGCUAUUGGAUGAGCCUAAGUCGGAUUAGCUAGUUGGUGAGGUAAAGGCUCACCAAGGCGACGAUCCGUAGCUGGUUUGAGAGGAUGAUCAGCCACAUCGGGACUGAGACACGGCCCGAACUCCUACGGGAGGCAGCAGUGGGGAAUAUUGGACAAUGGGGGCAACCCUGAUCCAGCCAUGCCGCGUGUGUGAAGAAGGCUUUCGGGUUGUAAAGCACUUUCAGCGAGGAGGAAGGCUCUAAAGUUAAUACCUUUAGGGAUUGACGUUACUCGCAGAAGAAGCACCGGCUAACUCCGUGCCAUCAGCCGCGGUAAUACGGAGGGUGCAAGCGUUAAUCGGAAUUACUGGGCGUAAAGCGCGCGUAGGUGGUUUGUUAAGCGAGAUGUGAAAGCCCCGGGCUUAACCUGGGAACGGCAUUUCGAACUGGCAAGCUGGAGUGUGGUAGAGGGUAG